GCCCGCUGUAGCGCCACAGCUCUUUGGGCGUUGAUUCUAGGGUCAGGGCCCUCACUCACACUGCUGGAAGGUUAAAGUCGACUUCACGCUAGUUUAAGGAAAUAUCUGACGCUGAUAACCAUGUCCCAAGCACUGCUCUAAGUUCCCAAUGUGUCCGGAAUUGGUGGGUUCUUGGUCUCACUGACUUCAAGAAUGAAGCCACGGACCCUCGCGGUGAGUGUUACAGCUCUUAAAGUGGCGCGUCUGGAGUUUGUUCCUUCUGAUGUUCGGAUGUGUUCGGAGUUUUUUCCUUCUGGUGGGUUCGUGGUCUCGCCGGCUCAGGAGUGAAACUGCAGACCUGUUACGGCUCAUAAAGGCAGUGUGGACCCAAAGAGUGAGCAGCAGCAGGAUUUAUUGCAAAGAGAGAAAGAACAAAGCUUCCACAAUAGAAGGGGACCUGAGCCGGUUGCCACUGCUGGCUCCGGCAGCCUGCUUUUAUUGUCUUAUCUGGCCCCACCCACAUCCUGCUGAUUGGUAGAGCCGAGUGGUCUGUUUUGACAGGGUGCUGAUUGGUGCGUUUACAAUCCCUGAGCUAGACACAAAGGUUCUCCAAGGCCCCAGCAGAGUCGAUUGGUAUAUUCACAAACCCUGAGCUAGACACACGGUGCUGAUUGGUGUAUUUACAAUCCCUGAGCUAGACAUAAAGGUUCUCCACAUCCCCACCAGACUCAGGAGCCCAGCUGGCUUCACCAAGUGGAUCCCACACCAGGGCUGCAGGUGGAGCUGCCUGCGAGAACGGCACCGUGCGCCCACACUCCUCAGCCCUUGGGUGGUGAUGGGACUGGGCGCCGUGGAGCAGGGGGUGGUGCUCGUCGAGGAGGCUCGGGCAGCACAGGAGCCCAUGGAGGGGGUGGGAGGCUCAGGCAUGGCGGGCUGCAGGUCCCGAGCCCUGCCCCUCGGAAAGGCAGCUAAGGCCCGGUGAGAAAUCGAGCACAGCGCCGGUGGGCUGGCACUGCUGAGGGACCCAGUACACCCUCCGCAGCCGCUGGCCCGGGUGCUAAGCCCCUCAUUGCCGGGGGCUGGCAGGGCCAGCCGGCUGCUCCGAGUGCGGGGCCCACCAAGCCCACGCCCACCCUGAACUCCAGCUGGCCCGCAAGCGCCGUGUGCAGCCCCGGUGCCCGCUCGCGCCUCUCCCUCCACACCUCCCUGCAAGCUGAGAGAGCCGGCUCUGGCCUUGGCCAGCCCAGAAAGGGGCCUCCACAGUGCAGCAGUGGGCUGAAGGGCUCCUCAAGUGCUGCCAAAGUGGGAGCCCAGGCAGAGGAGGCACCGAGAGUGAGCGAGGGCUGUGAGGACUGCCAGCACACUGUCACCUCUCACCAACAUUCUAAAUCAUAAACACCCAGGCCGGGCGUGUGGCUCACGCCUAUAAUCCCAGCACUUUGGGAGGCUGAGGUGAGAGGAUCGCUUGAGCUCAGGAGUUCCAUACCAGCCUGGGCAACAAGGGAAAAAACCCUACCAAAAAAAACACAAGAAAUUAGCUGGGCGUGGUGGCGCGUGCCGAUAGUCCCAGCUACUUGAGAGGCUGAGCCGGGAAGAUUGCUUGAGCCCAGCAGGUCGAGACCGAGGUGAGCUCUGAACGCCUGAUUGCGCCACUGCACCCCAGCCCAGUGACAGGGCGAGACCCUGUCUCAAAAUAAAUAAAUAAAAAUAAUAAACAACCGAAUUCAGUGGUCCCGUUAGAAUAUUCCAGGCUCCGAGAAGCCAGGUGCUCACAGCGUCGGGAUUUGCCCCCAGCCAGGGCCUCCGCUCCCUCUUGCCUCGGGCAGAUGCUCCUGGAACACAGAGCUGCGGCCUCGGUGCUGAUGCUGAGUGCUGUGACCCAGCCUCCCCCUACUUUUUUCCUAAGGGUAUAAGCUUCACUCUGCCUGGGGCUUUGGCUGUAAGUUGGAGUCUGGCUUUACCCACUGUGGGCACCCAAGGCCAAGGUGGGUCUGAUUCACCACUGUUUCCUCAGCCCUGCCAGGCUCUGAAUAUGCCUUUAGGAAUCAUUCUGGAAGAUUUCUUUCUUCACUGGACUAUAUAAGUGCCUCUGCGAGAAAACAGGCCCUAGGGGCAGGUACUUAGUCAGUUUAGUCAUCUGUUUCCUCAGCUUGAAAUGGGCUUGGCAUACAGCAGGAGCCCAGUAAAUGUUGCUUUAAUGCUCAUUUCCCAAGAGAUCUUUAUUAAGCACCCACUGCAUGUCAUUGUGUCUAGGCUUAUUCACUGUGUACCUCUAGCAGAAAGUUAAGGGGACCCUCCAUGCUUGAUGGCCAGAGGUCACUCUCAGCUCCUACAGGUCACUCUCCGGUCCUUAAACGUGGCCCUCUCCAUCUUCAAAGCCAGUAAGAGCAUGUCGGAUCCUUCUUAUCCUUCCAGCCUCUCUGUCAUCCCCUUCUGCUCCCAGCUGGAGAAAACUCUGCUUUUAAGGGGCUUGCCAUGGUCCAAAUAUGUGAGUCCCCCCAAAAUUCAUAUGUUGCAAAGCAAUCCCCAAUGUGAUGAUAUUAGGAGGUGGGGUCUUUGGGAGGUGAUGUGGUCAUGAAGGCUCAGCUUUCAUGAAUGAGAUUAGCACCCUCAUAAAACAACUCCACAGGGCCGCCUUACCCCUUCUGCUGUGGGAGGUUAUAGCAAAAAGAUGGGCUUCUAUGAACCAGAAGUGGGCCCUCACCAGGCACCAAACCUGCUGGCACCGUGAUCUUGUACUGCUCAGCCUUCAGAACUCAGAAAAUACAUUUCUGUUGUUUAGAAGACACCCAGUUUCUGGUAUUUUGUUAGAGCAGCGUGAACGGACUAAAAUAGUGCUUAUGUGGUUGUGUAACAGCAUCGAUUCCAUGUUAAAGAACAAUUUUGCUUGCUCAAUUAUAAUUAUUGCUUUGCUUAAGUUUUAGACUAUGCUAAAAACAGCCUCAGGACCUUCAGCACUGAUCAACAAUCCUGGGCAUGGGCUGACCGACAGUUUUCACCCAGAGAGUGAAGAUCAUGGAGGAGCCAUCUUAAAUUCUGCCCAGCGCAGGCUCCCAGGAAUCCUAAUGUCACGAUCUCACUGCAGCCAAUGUGACAAACACAGCAGUAAUUAAGUCUAGAGAGCUAAACACACCUCAAAAAGAAUUGUCUCUUGGUAUGAGUGGAAUGGAAUAAAAUACAUGGAAACCCACAAAAGUUUCGAGGUGAACAUAUUAGCAAAAAUGCUCUAGCUUAUCCAAGCGACAGUUCAAAGUGUCAAAGGACUUCUAGACUCCCAAUCUUUCCACCGGCAGAAAGCAGGCUCAGUAGCCCAAACUGGCGCAUUUUAAAAUGCCCUUUUCAGAAGUGUGAUGGAAAAAGAAGGAUGUGUCAGUGCAGGCCAGUGUGUGGGGACCAAUGGCAAACUGCAGCUCCUGAACUAAGAAAGACUUUCAUAUCUUUAAAAAAGAAAAGGAGAAAUAGGAAUAUGUGAUAGAGACUGUAUGUGGCCCACAAAGCCUAACAUAUUUACUGUUUAGAUCUUUACAGAAAAUGUUUGCCAACUCCUGUGCUGCUGAGCCACUUCCAGGUUGCAGAACCAAAGCCUUACAUUCCCUAGCUUUAAAGUAGAGGACCUGGCAAUGUUUACUCCACCGAGUUUCAAAAUAGCUAUGUGACUGCUAUUUCACCCCUUCAUUCUUCCCUUACCAA
rnacentral:lncRNA from 1 species